rnacentral:rRNA from 1 species
AUUGAACGCUGGCGGCGUGCUUAACACAUGCAAGUCGAUCGGUAACGCGGGGGCAACCCUGGCGACGAGAGGCGGACGGGUGAGGAACGCUUGGGAAUCUGCCUAUCAGCGGGGGACAACACGGGGAAACUCGUGCUAAUACCGCAUACGCUCUACGGAGGAAAGCCGGGGACCGCAAGGCCUGGCACUGAUAGAUGAGCCCAAGCCGGAUUAGCUAGUUGGCGGGGUAACGGCCCACCAAGGCGACGAUCCGUAGCAGGUCUGAGAGGACGAUCAGCCACACUGGGACUGAGACACGGCCCAGACUCCGACGGGAGGCAGCAGUGGGGAAUAUUGGACAAUGGGGGAAACCCUGAUCCAGCGACGCCGCGUGGGUGAAGAAGGCCUGCGGGUUGUAGAGCCCUUUCGGUAGGGACGAAAGCUCUCGACCUAACACGUCGGGAGGUUGACUUAACCUACAAAAGAAGCACCGGCUAACUCUGUGCCAGCCGCCGCGGUAAUAC